GACGAACGCUGGCGGCGUGCUUAACACAUGCAAGACGAACGAAGUGGCGAACGGGUGAGUAACGCGUAAUCAACCUGCCCUUCAGAGGGGGACAACAGUUGGAAACGACUGCUCAUUCCGCAUACUGAAGGAGGGGAUUGCGUCUGAUUAGCUAGUUGGAGGGGUAACGUCCCACCAAGGCGAUGAUCAGUAGCCGGUCUGAGAGGAUGAACGGCCACAUUGGGGCUGAGACACGGCCCAGACUCCUACGGGAGGCAGCAGUGGGGAAUCUUCCGCAAUGGACGAAAGUCUGACGGAGCAACGCCGCGUGAGUGAUGACGGCCUUCGGGUUGUAAAGCUCUGUUAAUCGGGACGCGGUACCGGAAUAGAAAGCCACGGCUAACUACGUGCCAGCAGCCGCGGUAAUUC
rnacentral:rRNA from 1 species